GCCGGGACUUCUUUACCAGGUACCGUCAUUAUCUUCCCUGGCGAAAGAGCUUUACGACCCUAGGGCCUUCGUCACUCACGCGGCAUGGCUAGAUCAGGGUUUCCCCCAUUGUCUAAGAUUCCCC
rnacentral:rRNA from 1 species